rnacentral:rRNA from 1 species
CCUACGGGCGGCAGCAGUGAGGAAUAUUGGUCAAUGGACGAGAGUCUGAACCAGCCAAGUAGCGUGAAGGAUGACUGCCCUAUGGGUUGUAAACUUCUUUUAUAAAGGAAUAAAACGAGGCACGUGUGCCUUUUUGUAUGUAUUUUAUGAAUAAGGAUCGGCUAACUCCGUGCCAGCAGCCGCGGUAAUACGGAGGAUCCGAGCGUUAUCCGGAUUUAUUGGGUUUAAAGGGAGCGUAGAUGGGUUGUUAAGUCAGUUGUGAAAGUUUGCGGCUCAACCGUAAAAUUGCAAUUGAUACUGGCAGUCUUGAGUACAGUUGAGGUAGGCGGAAUUCGUGGUGUAGCGGUGAAAUGCUUAGAUAUCACGAAGAACCCCGAUUGCGAAGGCAGCUUACUAAACUGUGACUGACAUUGAUGCUCGAAAGUGUGGGUAUCAAACAGGAUUAGAUACCCCUGUAGUC